rnacentral:rRNA from 1 species
UAUUAUUUAAAAUGUAAGUAUAUUUAUUGAAGUAGUAAUAGUUAUGUUCUUGAAACUUAAAAAAUUUGGCGGUAUUUUAAUCUUUCCAGAGGAACCUGUUUUGUAAUCGAUAAUCCACGAUGGACCUUACUUAAUUUUGUAAUCAGUUUAUAUACCGUCGUUAUCAGAAUAUUUUAUAAGAAUAAUAAUAUUCAAUAAUUUUUAAAAAAAUAUAUAUCAGAUCAAGGUGUAGCUUAUGAUUAAGUAAUAAUGGGUUACAAUAAAUUUAUUUAAACGGAUAAAAUUAUGAAAAAAUUUUUGAAGGUGGAUUUGGUAGUAAAAUUAUAAAGAUAAAUAAUUUGAUUUUAGCUCUAAAAUAUGUACACAUCGCCCGUCGCUCUUAUUAAUAAGGUAAGAUAAGUCGUAACAUAGUAGAUGUACUGGAAAGUGUAUCUAGAAUGA